AUUGAACGCUGGCGGCAGGCCUAACACAUGCAAGUCGAGCGAGUGGCGGACGGGUGAGUAAUGUCUGGGGAACUGCCUGAUGGAGGGGGAUAACUACUGGAAACGGUGGCUAAUACCGCAUACCCUCGGAUGCACCCAGAUGGGAUUAGCUAGUAGGUGGGGUAAAGGCUCACCUAGGCGACGAUCCCUAGCUGGUCUGAGAGGAUGACCAGCCACAGUGGGAAUUAGACGCGGUCCAUACUCAGACGGGAGGCAGCCGUGGGGAAUAUGGCACAAAGGGCGCAAGCCUUAUGCAGCCAUGCCGCGUGUAUGAAGAAGGCCUUAGGGUUGUAAGGUACUUUCAGCGGGGAGGCGUUACCCGCAGAAGAAGCACCGGCUAACUCCGUGCCAGCAGCCGCGGUAAUAC
rnacentral:rRNA from 1 species